rnacentral:rRNA from 1 species
GACGAACGCUGGCGGCGCGCCUAACACAUGCAAGUCGAACGGAGCUGAGAGGAGCUUGCUUUUCUUAGCUUAGUGGCGAACGGGUGAGUAACGCGUGAGUAACCUGCCCUGGAGUGGGGGACAACAGUUGGAAACGACUGCUAAUACCGCAUAAGCCCACGGUGCUGCAUGGCACUGCGGGAAAAGGAUUUAUUCGCUCUAGGAUGGACUCGCGUCCAAUUAGCUAGUUGGUGAGGUAACGGCCCACCAAGGCGACGAUUGGUAGCCGGACUGAGAGGUUGAACGGCCACAUUGGGACUGAGACACGGCCCAGACUCCUACGGGAGGCAGCAGUGGGGGAUAUUGCACAAUGGGGGAAACCCUGAUGCAGCGACGCCGCGUGGAGGAAGAAGGUUUUCGGAUUGUAAACUCCUGUCGUUAGGGACGAUAAUGACGGUACCUAACAAGAAAGCACCGGCUAACUACGUGCCAGCCGCCGCCUAAAAC